AUUGAACGCUGGCGGCAGGCCUAACACAUGCAAGUCGAACGAGUGGCGGACGGGUGAGUAAUGUCUUGGAAACUGCCCGAUGGAGGGGGAUAACUACUGGAAACGUUUGCUAAUACCGCAUACCAUCGGAUGUGCCCAGAUGGGAUUAGCUUUUAGGUGGGGUAACGGCUCACCUAGGCCACGAUCCCUAGCUGGUCUGAUAGGAUGACCAGCCACACUGGAACUGAAACACGGUCCAGACUCCUACGGUAGGCAGCAGUGGGGAAUAUUGCACAAUGGGCGCAAGCCUGAUGCAGCCAUGCCGCGUGUAUGAAGAAGGCCUUCGGGUUGUAAAGUACUUUCAGCGGGGCGGCGUUACCCACAGAAGAAGCACCGGCUAACUCCGUGCCAGCAGCCGCGGUAAUAC
rnacentral:rRNA from 1 species